GACGAACGCUGGCGGCGCGCUUAACACAUGCAAGUCGAACGGAAAGGCCUGCUUUCCCUUGUGGAUUGCGGGUACUCGAGUGGCGAACGGGUGAGUAACACGUGAGCGAUCUGCCCCCAACUUGGGUAUAAGCCUGGGAAACUGGGUCUAAUUCCCGAUAGGACUGCAGGGUGGUGCCUGUGGUGGAAAACGAUUUUCUAGUGGUUGGGGAUGAGCUCGCGGCCUAUCAGCUUGUUGGUGGGGUAAUGGCCUACCAAGGCGGCGACGGGUAGCCGGCCUGGGAGGGUGGACGGCCACAUUGGGACUGAGAUACGGCCCAGACUCCUACGGGAGGCAGCAGUGGGGAAUAUUGCACAAUGGGCGGAAGCCUGAUGCAGUGACGCCGCGUGGGGGAUGACGGCCUUCGGGUUGUAAACUCCUUUCGACCGCGAGGAAGCCACCUGGUUGGAAGGGUGGUGACGGUAGUGGUAGAAGAAACACCGGCUAACUACGUG
rnacentral:rRNA from 1 species